AUUGAACGCUGGCGGCAGGCCUAACACAUGCAAGUCGAGCGGCAGCGGAAAGUAGCUUGCUACUUUGCCGGCGAGCGGCGGACGGGUGAGUAAUGUCUGGGAAACUGCCUGAUGGAGGGGGAUAACUACUGGAAACGGUAGCUAAUACCGCAUGACCUCGAAAGAGCAAAGUGGGGGAUCUUCGGACCUCACGCCAUCGGAUGUGCCCAGAUGGGAUUAGCUAGUAGGUGAGGUAAUGGCUCACCUAGGCGACGAUCCCUAGCUGGUCUGAGAGGAUGACCAGCCACACUGGAACUGAGACACGGUCCAGACUCCUACGGGAGGCAGCAGUGGGGAAUAUUGCACAAUGGGCGCAAGCCUGAUGCAGCCAUGCCGCGUGUGUGAAGAAGGCCUUAGGGUUGUAAAGCACUUUCAGCGAGGAGGAAGGCAUCAUACUUAAUACGUGUGGUGAUUGACGUUACUCGCAGAAGAAGCACCGGCUAACUCCGUGCCAGCAGCCGCGGUAAUACGGAGGGUGCAAGCGUUAAUCGGAAUUACUGGGCGUAAAGCGCACGCAGGCGGUUUGUUAAGUCAGAUGUGAAAUCCCCGCGCUUAACGUGGGAACUGCAUUUGAAACUGGCAAGCUAGAGUCUUGUAGAGGGGGGUAGAAUUCCAGGUGUAGCGGUGAAAUGCGUAGAGAUCUGGAGGAAUACCGGUGGCGAAGGCGGCCCCCUGGACAAAGACUGACGCUCAGUGCGAAAGCGUGGGGAGCAAACAGG
rnacentral:rRNA from 1 species